GACGAACGCUGGCGGCGCGCCUAACACAUGCAAGUCGAACGAGCGAGAGAGAGCUUGCUUUCUUGAGCGAGUGGCGAACGGGUGAGUAACGCGUGAGGAACCUGCCUCAAAGAGGGGGACAACAGUUGGAAACGACUGCUAAUACCGCAUAAGCCCACGGUGCCGCAUGGCACAGAGGGAAAAGGAGCAAUCCGCUUUGAGAUGGCCUCGCGUCCGAUUAGCUAGUUGGUGAGGUAACGGCCCACCAAGGCGACGAUCGGUAGCCGGACUGAGAGGUUGAACGGCCACAUUGGGACUGGGACACGGCCCAGACUCCUACGGGAGGCAGCAGUGGGGAAUAUUGCACAAUGGGGGAAACCCUGAUGCAGCGACGCCGCGUGGAGGAAGAAGGUCUUCGGAUUGUAAACUCCUGUUGUUGGGGAAGAUAAUGACGGUACCCAACAAGGAAGUGACGGCUAACUACGUG
rnacentral:rRNA from 1 species